rfam:Triticum aestivum genome assembly, contig: Triticum_aestivum_CS42_TGACv1_scaffold_030625_1BL
UUUGUACUCCAUCCGUCCCAAAAUUCUUGUCUUAAAUUUGUCUAAAUACGGAUGUAUCUAGUUACAUGUUAGUGUUAGAUACAUCUGUAUCUAAACAAAUGUAAGACAAGAAUUUUGGGGACGGAGGGAAUGCUAC